rnacentral:lncRNA from 1 species
UUUUUUUUUUUUUUGGGGGGUGCACCUGUGGCAUGCAGAAAGAAGUUCCUGGGCUACUGAUUGAACCUUCACAACAGCAAUUACAACACUGGAUCCUUAAUUGCUAGGUCACCAGGGAACUCCUUCUGGUCUCUUAUUUAUUUAUGUUCUUCCUUGCAAUUUCCUUCCUUGUGCUACCUUAAGGCUGUUUGUUCUUUUUGUUGUUGUUGUUCCUGUAAGUGUAAAGUUAGGUUGUUUAUUUGAGAUCUUUCUUUUUUCUUAAUGUAGACAUUUAUCAUUGAAAAAUUUCCUCUUAGAACUGAUUUUACUGCAUCUCAUUAGCUUUGGUAUGUUUUAUUUUCCGUUUUCAUUUGUCUCAAGAUACUUUUUGACUCCUUCUUUGAUCCAUUGGUUGUUCAGGGGUGUGUUGUUUAGUGGGAUUGCCUCCAGGAUUGCAAUAAAACAAGACUGGAACUGAGUCAUGUGGCAACUGCUGGGUCCGCAGUGGUGUUUGUGAUUUUGCCAAGCCUUUUUUACCAUGAGCUUAGGUGGGCAUGGAUCCUGUUUGGUCUCUAAGUAGAUGACUCUAGAACCUUGGUCAGUAGGGCUGGUGCUGGGACAAGAGUCCACUUCAGGGUCUGUACUGGGUCUGCAGAGAGCUGGCCUGCUGUCAUGUACAGAUACAGGGGUGUCUUCUACCAGGUUUCUGGGAGAGAUCCUGCUGGAUAACUGGUCAGAUCCCUGAGCAUGCAGGAUUACUCUGGACCAUGGCUUAGAGUGGCUGGAACUGAGAUAAAAGACUGCUGUAUGGUCCACAGCUGGAAUUGAAGUCUGCAGGCCUGCUUCCAGGAGCAUGGAUGGGUAUGCCUCCUGCUAGGUUCCUGGGUGAGUCCAGCUGCCCCUGGACCAUGGCUAAGCAGGAUGGGAGGCAUGUCCCCAGUGGCAGAUACAGGUGGGGGACCUCUCCUUCAGCCAUCUUAAUGGCCUAUAACUUUAAAAAAAUUAAAAUGUGUUCUUAAAUUUUAAAAUUAGUAUAAAUUUAAAAUUAUUUAAAUUGGAAAACAUAGAAAAAUAGAAGUACAGUAUAAAGGCAUUUUAAACAUCGUUGGUCUUCUCCAGUUUUGUAGUUCUGGAAAGUUUAUCUUACACAGUGGUGACUAAAUGGCUAGUUAUAAUAUCCUGCUUUUAUACUUCACACUCUAAAUAAAAUAAAUGUAUAACACAAAUGUUUUUCCAUAGUAUAAUAAACUCCUUAUAAAUAUCACUUGAAAUGGCAAUGCCAUCAUUUACUUAACCAUUCCUCAAUAUUUUUAAUUACUUCCAAAUUUUGUAGAAAAUUUUAUUUUUAUAAAAUAUAUAACUGUUUGUAAUAAAAAUUAUAGGUAUUUUAACUAUUUCUGUAGGAUAAAUUCUCUAGAAAUGGAAUUUCUAAGUUAUAGGGUGUAAAUAUUUUAAGGCUUUUGAUAUAUAGUUCUAAAUUUAGCUUGCAAUAUUAAUGUCUUUCUUCAAUGGAAAAUUAUAGUAAAUUUCAUGGAUUUUUAACUGAACAUGGAUAAAAUUUUACUGCAAAAACACUUUGAGGUUUGAGGGAAGGGUAUUAGCUAACAUAUGUUAAAAGCUGAGUAAUUGGAACUAAUAAGAAAAGUCAGUUUGAAUUUGUGACUAAUUCUUAACUAUAGACUACUUUAAGACAAUGUGCUUUUAUUGUUGUAGUCCAUAAAAUAAUAUCUAGACUAAUGAAAAGUUUAUGGUACUCGGAGGCUUUGGCUCCCAGUCAGGCAGACUCAGCUUUAAAAUCACACUCUACCACCUACCACCUGACUUUGGGCAAGUUUCUUAACUUCUUUGCCUUAUUUUCUGCAUCUGUUCAAUGAAGAUAAUGUUUGUUCUUACUUCUUAGGGUAAUUGUGAGCCUUAAAUAAAAUCAUGUGUUCAGAGUGCCAAGUAUCUUUAUCUAUUAUUAAACAAGAAUAAUUUUCAACGGAAUUCCUAGUCAGUUAGAAUUUCUGCACCGAUAAACAGAUCAGUUAAAAAGUUUUAAAUAAAUAAACCUAUAAUCAAUGAAGUUUCUUAUGUAAAUGAGCUAACAUUUUCCAUGAAAUUAUAUUUGCUGUAUUACCAACUUUAUAUAUAUAUAUAAUUUAUAUAUGUGUGUGUAUAUAUAUGUAUAUAUGUUGUAUAUGUAAAAAAAAGCAAGCCAUAAAAAAAGCCUUUGUAUAAUUAAUACAAACAGUGAUGGAUUCUGAGUUAAUUAAAAGGUCUAUUUUUUUAUUUAUGGCUUUACUAUUUUUUAUUUUACAUUAGAGAGAAAAAAAGCUUGAUGUAAUGCUCUUCAUGUUUGGAUUAUGAAGAACAACAAUAAAAGCUAACUUCAAAAUUAAUGAAUAUACUUCAAAUAAGAUUCCAUCAAACAUAAAUACACUGAUAAUCUCAGUAUUUAUAACCUACAGCUAAGGGACAAAUAUAAAUGAAUCAUAUAAAAAAAAUCACUUAAUAUUUUUUCUAAGUUUCUCUGUAAGGAGCAAUUGAGGAAAAUUUUCUAGUGAAAAGCUGUCCCCCAGUGCAGAAGUGGGCACUGCAUUAGUAUGGGGGUGAGGCCAGUUCUGUUUCUACAGGCCAUUUUAUUUAUUUAUUUAUUUUGGCUGCGCCUAUGGCAUGUGGAAGUUCCUGGGCCAGGGUUUGAACCUGUGCCACAGCAGCGACCUGGGCUGCUACAGAGACAGCACCGGAUACGUAACCUACUGUACCACAAGGGAACUCCUCUACGGGCUAUUUUUGAUGCUAUUUGGUUACUGUGGUCUGUGGCUUUCUUACUCUAGCACUCACUUUACCUCAAAUUCUCCACUGUUUCUUAGCUCAGCAAAACUUUUUUUUUUUGGUCUUUUUUUAGGGGUGCAUCUGCAGCAAUAUGGAAAUUCCCAGGUUAGAGGUUGAACUGAAGCUGUAGCUACUGGCCUAAACUACAGCCACAGCAACAUGGGAUCCAAGCCGAAUCUGCGACCUACACCAAAGCUGAUGGCAAUGCCAGAUCCUUAACCCACUGAGCGAGGCCAGGGAUCUAACCUACGUCCUCAUGGAUAUUAGUGAGAUUCGUUUCCACUGAGCCAUACUGGGAAUUCCUCAUGAUCCAUUUGAUCUUGAAGCUCAGGCCAAUUUCA